UGAGGAAUAUUGGUCAAUGGGCGUAAGCCUGAACCAGCCAAGUCGCGUGAGGGAAGACGGCCCUAUGGGUUGUAAACCUCUUUUGUCGGGGAGCAAAGCCGCCCACGUGUGGGCGGAAGGAGAGUACCCGAAGAAAAAUGCAUCGGCUAACUCCGUGCCAGCAGCCGCGGUAAUACGGAGGAUGCGAGCGUUAUCCGGAUUUAUUGGGUUUAAAGGGUGCGUAGGCGGCAUGGUAAGUCAGCGGUCAAAUCGAGGGGCUCAACCCCUUUCCGCCGUUGAAACUGCCGUGCUUGAGUGGGCGAGAAGUAUGCGGAAUGCGUGGUGUAGCGGUGAAAUGCAUAGAUAUCACGCAGAACUCCGAUUGCGAAGGCAGCAUACCGGCGCCCGACUGACGCUGAGGCACGAAAGCGUGGGGAUCGAACAGGAUUAGAUACC
rnacentral:rRNA from 1 species